rnacentral:rRNA from 1 species
ACUGUACGGGAGGCAGCAGUGAGGAAUAUUGGACAAUGGGUGGAAGCCUGAUCCAGCCAUCCCGCGUGCAGGAUGACUGCCCUAUGGGUUGUAAACUGCUUUUAUAUAGGGAUAAACCUACUCUCGUGAGAGUAGCUGAAGGUACUAUAUGAAUAAGCACCGGCUAACUCCGUGCCAGCAGCCGCGGUAAUCAGU